AAAGAGUGCAUUUCUCAGUUUUGAUACAACAUUUGAUUUUUUGUCUUAUUUAUUUUUUUAUGAUUAGUAUUUUUAAUGUUAUUAGAUGAUAAAACAUAAAUGAUAAUUUAUGCAUGAUUAUUUUUAAUAAAAUUUUCAAAUAAGAUGGACGGUCAAACGUUGGACACAGAAAA
rfam:Oryza glaberrima chromosome 5 Oglab05_0007_11, whole genome shotgun sequence.